rnacentral:rRNA from 1 species
GUGGCGAAUGAAGCGGGAAAAGCUCAAGUUUGAAAUCUGGGGGGGCCUGCUCCCUCAGAGUUGUAAGCUGAAGAGGUUUUGACCGACGCGGCACGGGCUCAAUUUCCUUGGAACAGGAGGUCAUGGAGGGUGAGAACCCCGUCUAUGGCUCGGAUGCCGUCGUCCUUGUGUCGUUUCCUCGAAGAGUCGGGUUGUUUGGGAAUGCAGCUCAAAAUGGGUGGUAAAUUUCAUCUAAGGCUAAAUAUUGGCGAGAGACCGAUAGCAAACAAGUAGAGUGAUCGAAAGAUGAAAAGUACUUUGAAAAGAGAGUGAAACAGUAUGCGAAAUUGUUGAAAGGGAAGCGUUUGGCAUCAGCCCAUGGCCUCUGGCGAUCAUCCAGGCUUCUGCCUGGUGCACUCGUCAGUGGCUGGGCCAGCGUCAGCUUUGCCUGCCGGAGAAAGGCCUCGGGGAUGUGGCUCCCUCUGGGGAGCGUUAUAACCCUUGGCGUAAUG